GACGAACGCUGGCGGCGUGCUUAACACAUGCAAGUCGAGCGGUAAGGCCCUUUCGGGGGUACGACGAGCGGCGAACGGGUGAGUAACACGUGGGUGACCUGCCCUCCAGCUCUGGGAUAAGCCUGGGAAACCGGGUACUAAUACUGGAUAUGACUCCAUGACGCAUGUUGUGGGGUGGAAAGCCUUGUGCGGCUGAGGAUGGGCCCGCGGCCUAUCAGCUUGUUGGUGGGGUGAUGGCCUACCAAGGCGACGACGGGUAGCCGGCCUGAGAGGGCGACCGGCCACACUGGGACUGAGACACGGCCCAGACUCCUACGGGAGGCAGCAGUGGGGAAUCUUGCGCAAUGGGCGAAAGCCUGACGCAGCGACGCCG
rnacentral:rRNA from 1 species